rnacentral:rRNA from 1 species
UACGAAGGGGGCUAGCGUUGUUCGCAAUUACUGGGCGUAAAGUGUGCGCAGGCGGCCGCGCAAGUCGAGUGUGAAAGCCCCGGGCUUAACUUGGGAAUUGCGCUCGAAACUACGUGGCUGGAGUGUGGCAGAGGAAGGUGGAAUUCCAGGUGUAGCGGUGAAAUGCGUAGAGAUCUGGAGGAACACCGAUGGCGAAGGCAGCCUUCUGGGCCAACACUGACGCUGAGGAGCGAAAGCCAGGGGAGCAAACGGG